rnacentral:rRNA from 1 species
AGUUUGAUCAUGGCUCAGAUUGAACGCUGGCGGAUGCUUUCACAUGCAAGUCGAACGGCAGCACGGACUUCGGUCUGGUGGCGAGUGGCGAACGGGUGAGUAAUGUAUCGAAUGUGCUCAGAAGUGGGGAUAACUACGCGAAAGCGUAGCUAAUACCGCAUACGCCCUUCGGGAAAGUGGGGACCUUCGGGCCUCGCACUAUUAGGAGCGGCUGAUAUCGGAUGAAGCGAAGUUGGUGGGGUAACGCUCACCAAGGCGACGAUCCGUAGCUGGUUUGAGAGGACGACCAGCCACACCGGGACUGAGACACGGCCCAGACUCCUACGGAGGCAGCAGUGGGGAAUUUUGGACAAUGGGGAAACCCUGAUCCAGCCAUCCCGCGUGCGAUGAAGGCCUUCGGGUUAAAAAGCACUCCUUGGCAAGGAAAGAACGGCACGGGAUAAUACCCUGAGCAACUGACGGUACCUGCAGAAUAAGCACCGGCUAACUACGUGCCAGCAGCCGCGGUAAUACGUAGGGUGCAAGCGUUAAUCGAAUUACUGGGCGUAAGCGUAUGCAGGCGGUUCGGAAAGAAAGAUGUGAAUCCCAGAGCUAACUUUGGAACUGCAUUUUUAACUACUGAGCUAGGGUGUGUCAGAGGGAGGUGGAAUUCCGCGUGGGCAGAAUGCGCAGAUAUGCAGAGGAACACCGACAGAAGGCAGCCUCCUGGGAUAACACUGACGUCUAUGCACGAAAGGUGGAGUAAACAGGAUUAGAUACCCUGGUAGUCCACGCCCUAAACGAUGUCAACUAGCUGUUGGGGCCUUCGGGCCUCGGUAGCAGCGCUAACGCGUGAAGUUGACCGCUCUGGGAGUACGGUCGCAAGAUUAAAACUCAAAGGAAUUGACGGGGACCCGCACAAGCGGUGGGAUGAUGUGGAUUAAUUCGAUGCAACGCGAAAAACCUUACUCUACCUUGACAUGUCUGGAAUCCCGGAAGAGAUUUUGGGAGUGCUCGCAAGAGAACCGGAACACAGGUGCUGCAUGGCUGUCGUCAGCUCGUGUCGUGAGAUGCUGGGUUAAGUCCCGCAACGAGCGGGCAACCCUUGUCAUUAGUUGCUACGAAAGGGCACUCUAAUGAGACUGCCGUAGACAAACCGAGGAAGGUGGGGAUGAUGUCAAGUCCUCAUGGCCCUUAUGGGUAGGGUCACACGUCAUACAAUGGUCGGGACAGAGGGUCGCCAACCCGCGAGGGGGAGCCAAUCCCAGAAACCUGAUCAGAAUCCGAUCGCAGUCUGCAACUCGACUGCGUGAAGUCGGAAUCGCCAGUAAUCGCGGAUCAGCAUGUCGCGGUGAAUACGUUCCCGGUCUUGUAGCGACACGUUCGAAGCCACACUAUGGAGUGGGUUUUACCAGAAGUAGUUAGCCUAACCGUAAGGAGGGCGAUUACUACUUAGGAUUCGAUGAUCAGUGAAGUCGUAACAAGGCAG